AACGAACGCUGGCGGCAUGCCUAACACAUGCAAGUCGAACGAGACCUUCGGGUCUAGUGGCGCACGGGUGCGUAACGCGUGGGAACCUGCCUUUAGGUUCGGGAAUAAACUCAGAGAAAUUUGAGCUAAUACCGGAUAAUGUCUUCGGACCAAAGAUUUAUCGCCUUUAGAUGGGCCCGCGUUGGAUUAGCUAGUUGGUGGGUAAAGGCCUACCAAGGCGACGAUCCAUAGCUGGUCUGAGAGGAUGAUCAGCCACACUGGGACUGAGACACGGCCCAGACUCCUACGGGAGGCAGCAGUGGGGAAUAUUGGACAAUGGGCGAAAGCCUGAUCCAGCAAUG
rnacentral:rRNA from 1 species